ACGGGAGGCAGCAGUGGGGAAUAUUGGGCAAUGGGCGAAAGCCUGACCCAGCAAUGCCGCGUGAAGGAAGAAGGUCUUCGGAUUGUAAACUUCUUUUAUGAGGGACGAAGGAUUUGACGGUACCUCAUGAAUAAGCCACGGCUAACUACGUGCCAGCAGCCGCGGUAAUACGUAGGUGGCAAGCGUUAUCCGGAUUUACUGGGUGUAAAGGGCGCGUAGGCGGGGAAGCAAGUCAGAUGUGAAAUCUAUGGGCUUAACUCAUAAACUGCAUUUGAAACUGUUUCUCUUGAGCGCUGGAGAGGUAGAUGGAAUUCCUAGUGUAGCGGUGAAAUGCGUAGAUAUUAGGAAGAACACCAGUGGCGAAGGCGAUCUACUGGACAGUAACUGACGCUGAGGCGCGAAAGCGUGGGGAGCAAACAGGAUUAGAUACCCUGGUA
rnacentral:rRNA from 1 species